rnacentral:lncRNA from 1 species
CUCAAAGUCUUCUUUCACCUUUGCACGAUACCUCUCUUUUCUGACUUUGGCGUGACUUUGGCGUUCUCCUCUUUGUCUUUGCUUUCACCUCUCUCUGUUGCUCCUCUGCUCCACCGACGUGAUUUCUUUAUUUUUUGCUUUUUCUCCGCAUCGUUCCCUCUCUUCUGCCAUCUCUGAGGUCCAUGCCAUGUCUCUUUCUAUCUAUUUUGAUUUCUU